UGGGGAAUAUUGGACAAUGGGCGAAAGCCUGAUCCAGCCAUGCCGCGUGUGUGAAGAAGGUCUUCGGAUUGUAAAGCACUUUAAGUUGGGAGGAAGGGCAUUAACCUAAUACGUUAGUGUUUUGACGUUACCGAAAGAAUAAGCACCGGCUAACUCUGUGCCAGCAGCCGCGGUAAUACAGAGGGUGCAAGCGUUAAUCGGAAUUACUGGGCGUAAAGCGCGCGUAGGUGGUCUGUUAAGUUGGAUGUGAAAUCCCCGGGCUCAACCUGGGAACUGCAUUCAAAACUGACUGACUAGAGUAUGGUAGAGGGUGGUGGAAUUUCCUGUGUAGCGGUGAAAUGCGUAGAUAUAGGAAGGAACACCAGUGGCGAAGGCGACCACCUGGACUAAUACUGACACUGAGGUGCGAAAGCGUGGUGAGCAAACA
rnacentral:rRNA from 1 species